CGGGAAGAUUAGAUGUCCGCUGUCCCUGAAAAGGGGCAGAGGAAAGUCCGGACACCACAGGGCGGGAUACUUCCUAACGGGAAGCUGCAGCAAUGCAGAGCCAGCUCCACAGAAACAAACCGCCGGGCGCCCUCCUUUUUACGGUGCCGUUGAGAGACCGCAGCGUUUUUCGCGCCCUGGCAAGGGUGAAAUGGUGGUGUAAGAGACCACCGGGGACCUUGGUGACAGGGUCUGCCAGGAAAGCCUUAUCCGGUGCAAUGCCAAAUAGGGAAGCCCAAAGCGCGGCCCGCGCGAAAUGGCUUCCGGGUAGGCAGCUCGAGGCCGUCUGUGAAGGCGGUUCCAGAUGAAUGGACAUCCGGCCCCCGCUUGCGGGGGUCACAGAAUCCGGCUUAUUAUCCUCCCGUGGG
rnacentral:RNase_P_RNA from 1 species